rnacentral:rRNA from 1 species
GAUGAACGCUGGCGGCGUGCCUAAUACAUGCAAGUUGUGCGGUAACAGAGAGAGCUUGCUCUCUGCUGACGAGCGGCGGACGGCAGAGUAACGCGUAGGAACAUACCCCAAACUGAGGGAUAACUGCUCGAAAGAGUAGCUAAUACCGCAUGUGGUCUUCGGAUUAAAGCUUCGGCGGUUUGGGAGUGGCCUGCGUCCGAUUAGCUAGUUGGUGAGGUAAUUGCUCACCAAGGCGACGAUCGGUAGCUGGUCUGAGAGGAUGAUCAGCCUGACUGGAACUGAGAACGGUCCAGACUCCUACGGGAGGCAGCAGUAGGGAAUUUUCCACAAU